AUUGAACGCUGGCGGCAGGCUUAACACAUGCAAGUCGAGCGGUAACAGGGUGCUUGCACCGCUGACGAGUGGCGAACGGGUGAGUAAUGCGUCGGAACGUGCCGAGUAGUGGGGGAUAACGCAGCGAAAGUUGUGCUAAUACCGCAUACGUACUGAGGUAGAAAGUGGGGGACCUUCGGGCCUCACGCUAUUCGAGCGGCCGACGUCUGAUUAGCUAGUAGGUGAGGUAAAGGCUCACCUAGGCGACGAUCAGCAGCGGGUCUGAGAGGAUGAUCCGCCACACUGGGACUGAGACACGGCCCAGACUCUUACGGGAGGCAGCAGUGGGGAAUUUUGGACAAUGGGCGAAAGCCUGAUCCAGCCAUGCCGCGUGUCUGAAGAAGGCCUUCGGGUUGUAAAGGACUUUUGUCAGGGAGGAAAUCCCUAGUGCUAAUAACACUGGGGGAUGACAGUACCUGAAGAAUAAGCACCGGCUAACUACGUGCCAGCCGCCGCGGUAA
rnacentral:rRNA from 1 species